AGAUUGAUGAUGCUUCCAUAUAUACAUUUUUUUGGAAAGGUGAACAAAAUGAGCAAAAACUCAGUACCAUCAUCCUCAUCAAACUGAGGUCC
rnacentral:snoRNA from 1 species